rnacentral:rRNA from 1 species
UACGUAGGCAGCGAGCGUUGUUCGGAGUUACUGGGCGUAAAGGGUGCGUAGGCGGUUGUUUAGUUUGGUGUGAAAUCUCCCGGCUCAACUGGGAGGGUGCGCCGAAUACUGAAUGACUAGAGUGCGGGAGAGGAGAGUGGAAUUCCUGGUGUAGCGGUGAAAUGCGUAGAUAUCAGGAGGAACACCGGUGGUGUAGACGGCUCUCUGGACCGUAACUGACGCUGAGGCACGAAAGCGUGGGUAGCAAACAGG